rnacentral:rRNA from 1 species
AUUGAACGCUGGCGGAAUGCUUUACACAUGCAAGUCGAACGGCAGCACGGGGGCAACCCUGGUGGCGAGUGGCGAACGGGUGAGUAACACAUCGGAACGUGCCCAGUCGUGGGGGAUAACGUAGCGAAAGCUACGCUAAUACCGCAUACGAACUCUGGUUGAAAGCGGGGGACUCGCAAGGGCCUCGCGCGAUUGGAGCGGCCGAUGGCAGAUUAGGUAGUUGGUGGGGUAAAGGCCUACCAAGCCGACGAUCUGUAGCUGGUCUGAGAGGACGACCAGCCACACUGGGACUGAGACACGGCCCAGACUCCUACGGGAGGCAGCAGUGGGGAAUUUUGGACAAUGGGCGCAAGCCUGAUCCAGCCAUUCCGCGUGCAGGAUGAAGGCCC